GCCUGGGGCUGGCGAGCUCCCCCGCCGCGCCGGGGCUUGGCGCUCCCCGGGGGCCGCCACCUGUCCGGCCCGGGCGCGGGGCGGCCGCUUCGCCCCCAGCUCUCGGAGGCGGCAGCGACAGGCAGGGGCAGGCACACGUGCGCCCGGCGGGCAGGCUCAGGCUUCUGCGGAGACGCGCCCGGCCAGCGCACCCCCCGAGCGCACUCGUGCGCGCGCGCACAGAAGCCCACGGGCGCAAAGUCACCCCUGCCCGGCGCGCACAGGAGCGCCCAGGCACAGAGCCAAGUAAGCAGGACGCUCAGCGCUCACGUGGAGGCAGGCAGAGAGCCACAGACUCGGACGUCCCCCUCCAGUGUUGCUCUCGGAUUUCUAGAAUGUACUGUUAUGGCCACAGAGUUCUUCCUCAUGACUACCCUUCUCUGGUGAAGAAGCUGAAAUACAAUUUAACCAAACCUGAAACUGAAAAGAAGACGAGAAGACCUGGGGCGAGCUGAAAUUUCAAAGGCUUAAGUUGAAAGAGAAUGUUCCUGGGGGGUGGGGGUGGGAGGGUGGCCCGGAAUAUUAGACUCACAAAAAACCAAUAGGGAGAGAAAAGCAUUAUCAAGGAAUUAGAAUAGACAAAAGAGGAAAAGUGAACCGAAAUAUUUUUGAGGAUAAACCGGAUCCUAAAAUGGAAACAAUGAAUUGAAAGGCAGGGUUUAAAAAAAAAAAAAAAAGCUGGUGCAACCAACAAAUAUGUUUUGAUCGCCCGCCACGGACGCCACUGUUGGUUCCCUGACCGGCUGAGAUCCUGGCCUCGGCGGGUUUGCGGCCUGGCGGCCAGUCGGGCAGUUGGCACCGAGCAAGAGCACGGAUCCGCUUCUCCGAGCUCUUGUUGGACGUGCUCUCCUGAUGGACGCGGCAGUUAUUUGCCAAGUGCAGCAGCGUGUGAUGUGCCCCGUCUGGCAUAACAAAGAUGUUGGCCUCCGCCUCUGUGAGGUUCCCAGUGCAGAGAGUGGAACCGGCCACGUCGGGGAGGCCGGGAGGGGAGAGACCUAAGGCCUUGCUUCCUGGUUCUGAUUACAGGAAAGUGGGGGAGAGCCGGGCAAACACAGCAGCCCCGGAGGGUUGCUAAGAGGGAAGGAGAAGGACGUAGGGCAGAGGCGCCCAGCUGACAUACCGAUGCGGCCCACCUGCUCGCCCAGGCCCUCAGAUCCCCAGAUUCCUACACCGAGGAGGGGCCCAAGGCCCAUAGGCGGGCAGGGGCUCACCCAACGUCACACAGCCAGUCGGAGGCAGUGCUGGCAGCGGAAUCCAGGACUCUUCCCAUUGCCCCAUCCUGUCACACUGAAGGGACAGCCCAGUGGUUAAUUAAAUGCAGGAUGUUCUGGAGUCAGGCUGACCUGGAUCUGUACCCUGCUUCUGCCACUUGCUGGUGGUCUUGUGAUCCUGGGCAAGUUUCUCUCUCCACCUGGAUGUCUCCAUCUGUUAAAUGGGGACUGUGAUUGUCAUUACUGGGAUGGCUUCCCUCCACCAUGGCCAUCCUCGCUUCCUUCCCUCCUGUGUGUGCCAUUGCCCCAUCAAAAGGUGGCGUUUUAAAAAAAAAAAAAAAAAAAGUGGCGUUUAUCUUUCACCCUCUUGGAUCUGGUCUGACUUGUGACUACCGCGACCGGCGACUACAGCCGACGUGACACUGUGGCAGUUCCAGAGCAAGUCUUUGUAAGGACUGGCAACUUCUGCCCGUGUCUCCUGAGUUACUUGCUCUGGAAGAAGAACUCCACUGAAUACACGAGCCAAAGACGGCCAUGCAGAGAGGCAGCUCAAGCAGGCUGGGAAGUGGAGAGGCUGCGAGGAGAGAGAUGCUUCUGCCCCUCUUCCAGCUAUUCCAUUGUAGCCUCAGCCUUUGGAUGACUCCAGCCUCAGGCCCUUGGGACUGCAGAUGCAUGAGAAGCUCCAAGCAAAACCUACCUAGCUGAGCCCCUUCCACAGUCAAAAGAGGUAAUCGUACAUUGAUGUUUUUAAGCCACAAAGGUUUAGGGGAUGCUUGUUACACAGCAGCGAUAAGGGGACCACGUGCUUACUGAGGCUAUUCGUGGAUCCAUGAGACAAUUAUGUAGAAUAGAAGUGGAGACACAUGAAAUAUGAAUGGUAGCUUUUUAUUUUAGUGGACUAAAUGCAAACAACAAACUCCAAACACCUCCGUCAGUCUCUACUAAAAAGCACAUUACAGCAUCCCUGAAUGAUGCAUUUGCAGACCACACGAAUGAACUUCCUUUUCCCUUCACCUGACAGUCUUUGAAGACAGCCCCUACGCCCUGCUCCAGCCAUACCAGCCUCCUCAGACCUUCCUAUGAGUCAGGUAUUUGCACAUGCUGUUCCCGGUGCCUAAAAGCCUUUCCUUCCCCCUGUUUACAUCUUUACUGCUUACUCAUCCCUCAGCUGAAUCAUCAUUUCCUCUGGAAGUGUAGGUCCCCACCCUCUGGGGAGAUGCCCUCAGAAUACGGUGCCCCUCUCCUUCCAACACUUAUCUCAGUUUUGCACCUUUGCAUGUAUUCGUGAGAUUAUGCAAUCACCAUAUUUCCCAGAAGACUCUCAGGGCAGGGACAACAUUGAUUUCAUUUGCCUUGGCUUAUCCCUAUAUCCCCCCAAACUAGCCCCAGUUGGAACCCGGCCACAUGUGGAUCCUCAGUAAAUGCUUUCAGUGAGCCAGCAAGUCAGCUCCCACUUCCCUUAUGCCUUUUCUUCUUCAUAUUGAGCAUCUCUAGUCCCUUUGGGGUGUAGGACUUGGUUUCAGCUUCAUUCCUCUUCCCUAUGCUCAGCUUCUGAUCUAGGCUCCUCAGCCUGUAGGUCCUGCCGUCUCAUCACCUUUAGGACUCUACCUUCAAGCCCUAAAACCUGAGGCUUAUUUAGUCUUUCUGCUAUUUUGGAAGGAGGCAUUUCUAAUACUAAGAGGUUCCUCUUCCAUGGUCAUCUGUUUCCAAACAAGGCAGUUUCUCCCUCAGACUUGAACAGUGGGUACCCAGGGCUGUUGGCAACAAUGCGAUGAGCAUGCCCUUCCCUGCAUCAAUUCUUGCAAUACCACACCCUCUCUUCUUUCAGCCGCCCUCUCCACUGCCCCAGCUAGAGCACCAAUCAUCCCUCAUCUGGAAUGUUCUCUCUCCCUCACACCAGCUGCCUCAGGAAUUUCCUGAACUACAAAUCUGCUCCUGUUACAUCCCUGCAUAGACUUCCAGUGAACCCUGCCUACCUUCAUUGUCUUUAGCAGAAGUUGCAAACUGGUGGCCACAUCUGGCCUAUAGAGGUCUUCAGCUUGGCCAAGGGAGUUGAAAGUAAUGAGGCACUAAUGUUUAAAAAUUUGGGACUUAUAAAAUUCCAGAUGCUCAAUUUCACUUAAAAAUAUCAACGUGUGGGCAGCCCUGGUGGCGCAGCGGUUUAGCGCCGCCUGCAGCCCAGGGUCUGAUCCUGGAGACCCAGGAUCAAGUCCCACAUCGGGCUCCCUGCAUGGAGCCUGCUUCUCCUUCUGCCUGUGUCUCUGCCUCUCUCUCUGUGUGUCUCUCAUGAACAACUUAAUAAAUAAAAUAUUUUUAAA
rnacentral:lncRNA from 1 species